GACAGAGGGUGCAAACGUUGUUCGGAAUUACUGGGCGUAAAGCGCGUGUAGGCGGCAAGGCAAGUCGGAUGUGAAAGCCCGCGGCUCAACCGUGGAAGUGCACUCGAAACUGCCUAGCUAGAGUCUCGGAGAGGAAGGUGGAAUGCUUGGUGUAGAGGUGAAAUUCGUAGAUAUCAAGCAGAACACCUGUGGCGAAGGCGGCCUUCUGGACGAUGACUGACGCCGAGACGCGAAAGCGUGGGGAGCAAACAGG
rnacentral:rRNA from 1 species